AAAAAAAAAAAAAAAAAAGUUCUAUUUUUCAAAAUUUUUUCAAAUAAAACUAAAGUAAUGAAUUGGGCGUUUCAUCAAGUCUAUUUUUAAUUUACAUAUUUUUUUUUUCCUAUUACACAUUCACAUAGAUUUACAUAAAAUAUUCUAUAAUUAAUAGCAGAUUUGUAUAAUUUUUCUUAGAUGCGUGUGGAUUUUGUGCCUAUGGUGGCAAUUACACAAAAUUCUCACUUUUUGCAACAUUAUAAAGUAGCACGAAUCAUUUCAAAUUCACAUUCUGAAGUUUAUCUUGUCAACGAAAAUUAAUGAUCUUGUUUUAGUUAAUAAAGCAACUCAAAACUAAUAAAAUGUGAUUAUUAAAAAUACAAAUGAUAAUAAAUUAAUUAUCUUUGUUAUUAAUUAAUCGCAGUUGUGCACUUGGCAUAAGACAUCCAAUUGAGAUUUCAAUAAUUAAGAGAUCGAGAGAGAAGAGUCGACGAGAAAUCUUUAAUAUAAAAUCGUAAAUGAAAUGCUGUAAUAAAUAAAAAAGUCAUCAAGAUUAUCAUAACGAAAAAGGAAAUACAAUCUAAAUCAAAACAACACCGAGCAUUGAAUACUCAAAAAGUAAGAAAAGAACACAACAGGAGGAAAAAAGACGGAUGCAAUCACAUUAAAGAAACAUUAAUUAGCAAUGGAAAGACGGGUCAAUCUUGCAUUCGACAGGGAGUUUCGUGGCGAGGUCAGGGUUAAUUCCGAGAAAUUUGAUCCACCCGGAGCUCUUGAAUGUGCAAAGACAUGGCAAGUUUGCCUUGGGAUUGGAAAGAGCCGCACAGCAAGCGGUCGAAGGUGGCUGACCAGUUGUUCCGACCACGGCCGACUUGCAUGUCAUUAAAUCAGUUGGGCUUAUGCCACAAAUGGGUUCUUCACCCCUUGCCAUUGAGGGCUGGCUCCCAAUGGUUACAAGUAGAACCAUCGCAAAAAUUGCAAGCUUAGAGUAUGAUAAUUCCAUCUUGGACUAGUAGUGGUACAAUCUUUUUCUACUUGUUGGGAACUAUCUCCUUUUGUGCUUAUAAUUUUUCAUCUAUCAGUCUUUAUAUAGAAGUUGUAGCACAUGGUCUAGGUUAUAAGAGUUAAAUGGACUAUUAAUUUAUUAGCAUGUGAAUGAUGCUCUUCUCAAAGUGUCAUAAUUAUUUCAAUGGAUAUGAUCUCUACAAUUUUUUGUGCAAGCCAAUCUUGUCUUGGAUGUGCAAUCGUCUAC
rnacentral:lncRNA from 1 species